AGGGUGUCCUGCUCAGUCAGCCAGAUGCACUCACAAUGCUGUGUUACUUGCUGACAGUCAUGCAGGUCUGCCCCAUGCCUGGCCCCUCAGAAGUGCCACAGGCCUGUCCUCCUCUCACCUCAGAGAACAGAACAUAGCUAUUUCAGUAAUCAACGUGCAACAUACACAAAAAUUCAACUCCAUCCUCAAAUAGGUAUGAGAUUAUUUUUGGUGUUGUGUAUCUUGCUAUGGUUACCAAAGCGUGGUUAGGAUUUUGAAAUUUUUCUUAGAACAAUACAAUGAUCUGAAUCUAAAAUCUUUCAUAAGGUGCAACUUUCCAACGAUAAACAAGAACAGGAAGCGAAUCUUGACUACAACUACACUUCCACUUCCCCUGCGCGAGGUGAUCUACUUUGCUGUCACCUGAGUUUGACUUGACUCGCACAAGAUUUUCCAUCAUCCAAUCCUGAAGUUAUUCACACUUUUAUUUCUGUUUGAAGAAAGUCUAUUUCCUAUCGGACUGGAAAUUGUGACAUACUCAAAUAUUUUAAGUCCAAGAGGAAGACAGCUGAAGCAAAGGAAUUGAGGAGCCAAGCCUUAAAAAGCAGAAAUGAAAACAGAUGUUAAACUUCUCUGAAACAAGUUUUUACUAAUAGCCUCCACCAAGCCUAUUUCAGUCAACUGUUAGAAUAUCCUGUCUGAUCAGAGGCUUCAACAGGCUUCACAGGCCGUGAGCUCCUCUAGGGUGGAACCAACUCUUCCCAAGGUUCUAUUUACCUCAUACUACACAGACCAUGACCUGCCACUGAGCAGUCCCCUUGGGCAUCAUUUGGUAACACCUGGAAACCGUGCGGGGAAGCUAGGGGUGCUACAAUGGACAUCAAAGUAUGAUGAUGUACACAUGACUGUAAUAUCACCACUCAGGCUGAGGUAGGAGGAAUUAUGAGUUCACAGUUUAUAAAGAGUUCCAGGCUAGCCUGGACUGCACAGCGAGAAAUUAUCCAAAAGAGCAAGAGAUAAGGCCUCGAUGUCAAAAGUGCCAACACUGAGGUGACUAUAGUUUUAUUUAACGAUGUCACUGUCCUUUGUGUUGGAGUACAAAAUCAUGUUUCCCAUAACCUUCUGGUGAUCGCUCACAGAGCCUUUUAAACAGGAUACAUUAGAUACCCUGGCAAGAUGAAGUUUAAGUGUCUUACCACAUAAACCAAGCCCCAAGGGAGAGUUAGUGAGUGAGGGCAGAGCACUGUGACGCUGAAGGCACCGUUAGCAUCUCCAGGACUGGCUGUCCUUCCUUCCCUAACAUUCUCCACUGCCAAGGGCACAAGCAGGACCGGCUCACUUGAAGCCUCUUCCCCUCCUGCCUCCUACCACUGUGCUGCUUCUCCCAGCAGCUCACAGGAAACAGCUCUGAGGUGCUGCGGAGCCUGGUUCCUCCAUGAAGCCCCGCCUCCCUCCCGGGGUUACUCUGAGGAUAGCUGGGUACAUCCCAAUGGCCAGGACAGGUGUGAGGGGAACAGUUCACAUCUGACUCAAGGCCAAGGGUUAGAUACAAGGUACCAGACUCGAAAACUCUGCAUCAAAGCAAAAGUUUGAGAACUUUUUGCAUGAGAAAGAUAUUCUAUGAAAAUGCAAAUGAACGGAUUCUGUGCUUCUAGGUAUGGCCGGACAAAUGAUUUAAAAAUAAAAACAAAACAAACAAAAUAUUUCCAUCUUUUAAAGCUAUGACUGACCCCAAUUUUCUUUUCAUGUGAGUCCAGGAACAUGUGUGCACUCUCCUUCUGAGCUCCACGCCAGAAAUCUAACUCAAUUCUUGUACUCCUUUUAUACCUAGCAUCUCUUAGGCAAUGAUUCCUGCAAAAGAAUCCGGGAACCAACUGGUAAUCAGCAGAUGGGGAGUUCCACAGUAGCUGCGUGCGUUGGGUAUUAAGGACAUUCUCACUGGUGCACGUCGAGGGACAGCAGAGACAACAAGAUCCCCCUGGUGCAUGCUGUGACCAAAGGAGGGCAUCAGAUCCCCCUGGAACAGGUUGUGACCCGUCCUGUGGACGUUAAAACUGAAUACAGGUCCUUCAGAAGGACAACAAACAUGCUCUUAACUGCUGAGCCAUCUCUCCAGCCCUUUUGAAAUCUAGUGUGGUGACAGUAGGAGGUGGGGCUUUUGGCAGGUUAGGUCUAGAGUUCGGUCUUACUAAAUCAGUGUCCUUACAAAAGGCACUUAGAUAAAUGCUUCAUCUCGCCUGCCAUGGGAGGUCAAAGAGACAGACAGGAAACAGGCCUUCACACCGAACACCAAAUAGGCUGGCCCCUUGAUCCUGACCUUUCCAGCCGCUUGAUGGUAAGAAAUGAAUUUGUAUGUCAGUAUCUUGAUAUAGGAGCCUGAGCAGAAUACGGCACUGAGGCAUCACAGGUAAAAGAGAUUGGCAUGGUCUCUCAUUUUCACAAAGCAUAUAUUCUACUCAACAGGCAGGUAUCAAACAAUUUCUCCCAUAUUACUUCAUGAAAUAACGAUUUCAUAGAAAUCAUUAGCAGUACUGAAAAUAAAGGGGUCAG
rnacentral:lncRNA from 1 species